GACGAACGCUGGCGGCGUGCUUAACACAUGCAAGUCGAACGGUGAAGCGCCUUCCUUUUUGGUGGGUGUGGUUGCGUGGCGAACGGUUGAGUAACACGUGAGUAACCUGCCCCCUUCUUCUGGUUAACCGCAUGAUAGUGAGGCUAAUACGGGAUAUUCUGGUUCUUUCGCAUGAUGGGUCUGGGGCAGAUGUUGUUUCGGUGGGGGUGGGCUCGCGGCCUAUCAGCUUUUUGGGGGGGUGGUGGCCUACCCAGGCGGUGACGGGUAGCCGGCCUGAGAGGGUGGCCGGUCACACUGGGAGUGAGACACGGCCCAGACUCCGGCGGGAGGCAGCAGUGGGGAAUAGUGCACAAUGGGAGCAAGCCUGAUGCAGCGACGCUGAGUGAGGGAUGGAGGCCUUCGGGUUGGGAACCUCUUUCGCGAGUGAAGCAGGUCUGCCUCGUGUGUGCGUGGGUUGACGGUAGCUGGAUAAGAAGCGCCGGCUAACUACGUG
rnacentral:rRNA from 1 species